UACGUAGGGGGCGAGCGUUUGUCCGGAAUCAUUGGGCGUAAAGCGCGUGUAGGCGGUUCGGUAAGUCUGCUGUGAAAGUCCAGGGCUCAACCCUGGGAUGCCGGUGGAUACUGCCGAACUAGAGUGCGGAAGAGGCGAGUGGAAUUCCCGGUGUAAGCGGUGAAAUGCGUAGAGAUCAGGAAGAACAUCGGUGGCGAAGGCGCUCUGCUGGACCUAACUGACACUCAGGGACGAAAGCUAGGGGAGCGAAUGGGA
rnacentral:rRNA from 1 species